rnacentral:rRNA from 1 species
GACGAACGCUAGCGGAACGCCUAACACAUGCAAGUCGAACGAAUUCUGCGUUGUAGCAAUACAUAGUAGAAUUAGUGGCAAACGAGCGAGUAACGCGUACCUAACUUGCCCUCGAGAUGAGAAUAACUACAGAGAUGUAGCUAAUCCUCAAUAUGCUCACAUGAAGUGAAAUCCUUUAGUGAGGAAAGAUUUAUCGCUCGGGGAGAGGGGUGCGUCCUAUCAGGUAGUUGGUUGAGGUAAUGGCUCACCAAGCCUAUGACGGGUAGCCGGUCUGAGAUGAUGUCCGGCCGCGAUGGGACUGAGAUACGGCCCAUACUCCUACGGGAGGCAGCAGUGGGGAAUCUUGCACAAUGGACGAAAGUCUGAUGCAGCGAUCCCGCGUGAGGGAUGAAGCAUUACGGUGUGUAAACUUCUUUUUUGGUGGAAGACGAAUGACGGUACACCAAGAAUAAGAGACGGCUAACUACGUGCCAGCAGCCGCGGUAAUACGUAGGUCUCAAGCGUUGUCCGGAUUUACUGGGCGUAAAGUAUCCGUAGUCUGAUCUGUAAGUCUGUUUUCAAAUCCCACUGCUCAACAGUGGAAAGGGAAUGGAUACUGCAGAUCCAGAACUAAUUAGGGGUUAGUGGAAUUUCCGGUGGAGCGGUGAAAUGCGUUGAUAUCGGAAAGAACGCCGAAAGCGAAAGCAGCUAACUAUAAUAUGUUGACGAUGAGGGAUGAAAGUUUGGGUAGCAAACGGGAUUAGAUACCCCGGUAGUCCAAACCGUAAAUUAUGCUUGCUAGGUGUUUUGACCCUUGUGGUCGGAGUGCCGUAAUCUAACGAGUUAAGCAAGUCGCCUGGGUAGUAUAUUCGCAAGAAUGAAACUCAAAGG